AUGGCGAGAUGAUGGUAUUGGUGAUGCAGGUGGAAAUGGCGCUUAUGGUGCACCUGCAGCAGCGGUUCCAUUUUCGUGUUUAUG